rnacentral:rRNA from 1 species
GAUGAACGCUGGCGGCGUGCCUAAUACAUGCAAGUCGAGCGAACAGAUGAGGAGCUUGCUCCUCUGACGUUAGCGGCGGACGGGUGAGUAACACGUGGAUAACCUACCUAUAAGACUGGGAUAACUUCGGGAAACCGGAGCUAAUACCGGAUAAUAUAUUGAACCGCGUGGUUCAAUAGUGAAAGACGGUUUUGCUGUCACUUAUAGAUGGAUCCGCGCCGCAUUAGCUAGUUGGUAAGGUAACGGCUUACCAAGGCAACGAUGCGUAGCCGACCUGAGAGGGUGAUCGGCGACACGGGAGCUGAGACACGGUCCAGGCUCCUACGAGAGGCAGCAGUAGGGAAUCGUCCGCAGUGGGCGAAAGCCUGACGGAGCAACGCCGCGUGAGUGAUGAAGAUCUUCGGAUCGUAAAGCUCUGUUAUUAGUGAAGAACAAAUGUGGAAGUAACUAUGCACUGCUUGACGGUAACUAGUCAAGAAGCCACGGCUAACUACGUG